rnacentral:rRNA from 1 species
GACGAACGCUGGCGGCGUGCUUAACACAUGCAAGUCGAACGGAAAGGCCCUGCUUUUGUGGGGUGCUCGAGUGACGAACGGGUGAGUAACACGUGAGUAACCUGCCCUUGACUUUGGGAUAACUUCAGGAAACUGGGGCUAAUACCGGAUAGGAGCUCCUGCUGCAUGGUGGGGGUUGGAAAGUUUCGGCGGUUGGGGAUGGACUCGCGGCUUAUCAGCUUGUUGGUGGGGUAGUGGCUUACCAAGGCUUUGACGGGUAGCCGGCCUGAGAGGGUGACCGGCCACAUUGGGACUGAGAUACGGCCCAGACUCCUACGGGAGGCAGCAGUGGGGAAUAUUGCUCAAUGGGCGGAAGCCUGAUGCAGCAACGCCGCGUGCGGGAUGACGGCCUUCGGGUUGUAAACCGCUUUCGCCUGUGACGAAGCGUGAGUGACGGUAAUGGGUAAAGAAGCACCGGCUAACUACGUG